rnacentral:rRNA from 1 species
AUUGAACGCUGGCGGCAGGCCUAACACAUGCAAGUCGAGCGGAUGAAGUUAGCUUUCUCCUGUUUUCAGCUUCGGACUGGUGUGUAAUUCCUAUGAAUCUGCCUGUUUUUUGUUUAUAACGUCCUUUAACGGGCUCUUAUACCCCAUACGUCCUUAUUUUGAAAGUUUGUGUUCUUCGGUCCUCACGCUUUCAUAUUUGCCUAGUUCGGAUUAGCUAGUUGGUUUGGUAAAGGCCUACCAAGGCUACGAUACGUAACUGGUAUGAGAGGAUGAUCAGUCACAAUGGAACUGAGACACGGUACAGAAGACUACGGGAGGAAGCAGUGGGGAAUAUUGGAAAAUGGGCGAAAGCAUGAUACAGCAAAGCCGAGUGUGUGAAGAAGGACUUAGGAUUGUAAAGAAAUUUAAGUGGGGAGGAAGGGAAGUAAGUUAAUAAAUAGCUGGAUUGACGUUAACAAAAGAAAAAGCACCGGCUAACUACGUG